rnacentral:lncRNA from 1 species
ACUGCUGCAAAUAGCUAAUAUAUCUUCUACACAUCAAACUUAUGUUUUCAGUUAUGAAGACGUAAAAUAUAUGCUUCAUUAAACAUAAUAAGUGAAUCAACAAGGUCAUUCGAAGCGAUACCGUAGCUUCAUCGUUGAGGUAUGUCACAUGAUAUCGAUGAGACUUGACUUACGUUGGAACGUAGUUCUCCUGGAGUGAUUAUUACUGAUUAAAUUGAAAAUAAAAGCAAUACCUAGCAUGAAAAUGCCUUUUUUACCCCCAAAAUUGUUUGAACUAUAUAGUGUCAGGGACUACAUUCGAGUGGACCACGGAGGAAUACCGGCGCAUUACUACCGUCAUACCUAUACUGAGGCAGUUUCUUGGAUGUUUCCGGUUCCGGUUUAUGUACAAACUUUUAUGUCUGCAUGAACAUCCGAAUCAGUCAGAACAAUUCGUAAACCGCGCUAACAAGAUUCUUUUACUUCUUUUUCGUAAUGAGAACUGUACAUACAACUGAAACACACAUUUAAAUCAGUAAGGAAGUGUGAAGGCCGUCAAGUUUCUGCGUGGAGUGCAAACAAACAAAAAACAAUCCUAAAGUCAGUGCGAGAACGCUGUGAAUGACGUCAUCGUCACGGCUUUCUGUAAAUUUGCAAAGUAUGAUAUUCGCUGUAAGAGGUAUAAUGGCCAUAAAUGUAAACGGUUUAUAACGAAGUUUCACUUUCUUGAGUGUUGAAUAUUUCUUUGUAAGUGGAUAUAUCAAAGAAAAAUCCCCAUGCUAGGCGGUGCCUUAAUUCAGAUUAAUGUACGAUCGCAAUUCGAUAGAUAAUUAGUAAGAUUAUUAUUUUAAUUCAUCAGUUCCGAGAAAAACAAAAAAAAAGCUUCCGAAUACGAGUUACAAAAACAACAACAACAACAUUUACGUUAACUACUGUCAGGCUCAUAUACUAAGGAACAUCACGACAGAAAAAAGUUCAAGUAAAUACAAUCAUAAGGAAAUGUACAUGAGGGACAGUGAUAUACUUCCAUAUAGGUGCGAAAUUUUUAUAAAUAUUUACAAAAUCACAAUAUAUAAAAAUGGUUAAAGUUAUAAACUUGUGCAAUAAAAUCAACAAACAUUUAAACGUACGAGUUAACUUUAUCAGUUUAUCAGGUCAUACAACAAAGUGUCGCUUUGAAAACUGUCAGUCGAAAUUAUUCGGCUGGAAAUUUAACGAAUGGAAAAAUACCAUUGGACAUUGAGUUAAAAUAUGACAUAAUUUCUCGGUUAGACGGGCUUGAAUUUAACAACUUUCUUUUGCCAUAUAUGUUUUGUAUGUAAACGACAUAUUAUUAGUUUCGUCUGAAGUGGUUAAUUAUAAUUUUAACAAACCUAGCAGUAUGUUUUAGGAUUUUAAUCGACUGUUAAUUAUUUGUCGAUUUUGCGAUCGUGUUUUUCCAGGGAUUAAAGAAUUAUAAAUACUUCUGUCUCCUGUAACUUACUAUUUAUUUAAUAUUAAAAUAUAAAGAGAAAAAUUCGAGAAUCAUCUUCCGUCUUUAAAGAAAAAAUCAUUAGUCUCUAAGCUCUAUGUAAAUAGAUAGAUAGAUAUAUUGGUGUUUAUUGCAGCAAGCAUAUUGAAGUUUCAACAUUCUAAAACAGAUCUUUUAUUUGAUAAACACAGAUUACAAAACAUACAUUUUGUAAUAACAUGUGAACAAAUAUAUAUAUAUAUAUAUAUAUAUAUAUAUAUAUAUAUAUAACAAAUGUGGAUAGGGAUCAAUGUCGAUGUGGGAAUGGUGAUCACACAUUUUAAAUCAGCAGAAAUGAAUAUCUAUGUUAAGUCAAUUUAGAAGUCCUUUAGUAAUACAUAACUUUAUAAAGAUAUUAAUGGGUUAGUGCACUUACUUUUGAGCUGCUAUAUAUAAUUAUUGUUACAGGUAGGCAAAAGGAGAACUUUCCUUUAAACAGAUCAGAACAAAGUGAAGUUAAAUUUGUUAUUCCUCAUCGUCACUAAACAACUCCAAAAAAGUUUUUUGUUUCUUAAGAUUAUGUACAAUAUUUUAGAUGAGAUAUAAUCUUGGACUGAAAUAGUGAUGAAAUACUAGUGUUACAUCAUAACAUUAGGCUACUACUAGAGGACAGCGUAAUAUCUAUAGCAAAAAAAAUACAACAACAAAAAAGUAAUCAACAACAAUAACAGCUUUGUUUCGUAUUUCAAAAUGUUAGUCACAUACAUUGUCAAUUUACGGUAUUUGCAUAAUAUUGAGUAGCCCGCCUUUCUGAUGAUUGACACAUCACGUGACCAAUUUCGCUAUUUCAAAUGACUGCCUACUCUGACCUACAGUAACCCGUCAAUGAAUUUGCAAACAUAAUACGCGUGGCUCUGUUGGAAUGAGGUUAAUCCGGUUAAUUGCAAGGAUGGGCAUAUCAGGAGAUAAUGCAACUCAUCACCUAGGUCAUUCGAGGGGCAGAGCGGGCACCUUCUUUGGUUGUGUGGCACAUGACUUUGCGACCAUCUUCCAACCUCAAUAGGGAACCUAUGAUUGCCAGUUCGGAAAUGGAAUAAUGAUAAGCGCUGGGAACGUGAACACAGCGAGUUGUUUUAGAUGUACUAGGCAAGAGGAAACAUUUAUCACACAGGAACACAAUCCCCGGCUGCUCCUAGCACGAGGAUACGUCUGGGGAAAUUGGACAGGCAGUUGAGUGCGGGGUACCAGAAUUACCUGCGGAGCCAGUGGUCUCAGACCCCGUAGCGCUAGAAAUUUCCGGUUUCUGUGGCUCUGGGAGAUGCUCCUGCAAAGGUGCAUGAACUGCCGUUAGAUAACCGGGUGCGGAACUUGAAAUGUCGGGGUUCCCUGAUUUCCUCAGUUGCUUUUGGGGAGUUAUGGUUGACAACGAGGGGCGGAGGUUGGAAGUCAUUGUUCUCCUCUUCGUCGGAUUGCUCGUCGAUGAUGAUAUCUUGUUCUUUUGGCAGAUUCUUCAUAACAUGCCUCAGUGUUGCAUCAACGGUCAUCUAAACGUAAGAAAAUGUCAUGCAAAUGGACAUCAAAAUGUUGACACGGACCGGUAUUUGAGAUUUAAAGUUCAGGAUAUGACUUCAUAAAACUGGUGGAUAAAUCGAAAUGGAAGUAUUUUGCAAUGGCAAGUAAACAGUUGUGUCUCUUUGGAGAAACGAUGAUACAGUAUUUACGUCUGCAUUCAAACGAUGCUAUUCAAGAUAACAGAAAACUCAAAGAAGCUGACAUUUGGCGGUUUGAGAAAAGAAAUUUACUUUUGCAUGACGGGAAAAAUGGUGUUUGCAUGCAUAUUUUAUCGGAAGCAGCUGCAAAACUACGGUUUAGGAAACUGUUUUUGAAAUGAUGUUGUGGUAGCCUAUUUGACAAUCUCGGUCCGCCUCGGCGGGACGAUAUUACGAUAGAGUUUUAUAUGAAAAUCUACGAAAAAGUCCGAAAAUCUCACUUGUGGAGAAAAGAGACUUGAUUAAUAAGUUCCCGCUAAGGAAUAAAUUCUUUGAGUCGAACCAGCAGCUGUAUGAAUACACUCUAGCUAGAAUAAAGUCUGCGUUAGACCAGCUGCAAUUUUUUUACCGUCAUCUGAAGAUCGUAUCCAGCUACUCUACCUAACUGUGACCGCCAUUUCUCUGUCGGGGCUUAAACUCCGAGGCUCUUGAUCCAGAGGCGAAUGCCCUACGACUGAGCUAUCAUAACUUAACGAUUCCACUUUCAGUGAUGUAAUUUUGUCUAAUGGUAAAAAAUGUUUACGACGUUGAAUCGACAACGGCCGCAUACUAUCGUUUUUACAGAGUUAAUGUACAAAGCCACUACUACAGACGAUAAUUCAUAUUGGAAGCGAGGCAAGCUCCAGCACGAAGGUAACCACAGAGACAGUUUACUGAGGUACUGACAGGCUCUUCUGUUUUUAUAUGAAAUAGAGGAACUUCCAGUCGCUGCAGCGCACAAUGAGCAAGGCAAACACCAGGGGCCAUUUGAACAGUCUGUGACUUAGUUACUUUUUCUUGAGGAAUGUUGUCAGUGCAGUAUACAAAUCGAAAAAAUGACUUAUUUUCUGUGACAAGUUUUGCUUUAUACGACGAUAAUUAUACCAACAUAUCAAGGAUUGAUUUGUUAAGUGAUUUCAACCAAAACAAUGCAUCAAAAGAAUGGAAUGUAUUUCUACAGAGCCAAAACUGCGAACUAUUUAAAUCCGUUAUUUUCUACCAUUUUUUCGCGCCAUUUUCUUAUUUGAUAUUGUCUGUAUACCUACAAUUCUGCACGUUUGAAACAAAUAGUUUUGCAGUGCAGAAUUUCAUUUAACUCUGGUUUUUUUAACCGAAGAAAGUCAGUAUUUAAAAAGAUAAGAUCGUAUGCUUGAUUUAUUGUAGGACCGAUUUGGCCUUAAUUUCUUUUUAAAGUGCCACUUAUAAAAGUUCGAAAAUUUCCGAUGGUAUGAUAAUCAGUAGAUUGAUCCAACUUCUCAAGAAAAAUGGUGUAAUAUCGUUGAUAUUGAUAAUGCUGAAUAGAAACAAUUAUAUAGCUUGGUUUACAUGACGUGUAAUGAUACAUAUUUACAAUGGUUACAAACUAGAAUUUCUCAUAGAAUAUUAGGUACCAAUGUUUUGUUAAUAUUCAAAAUGAACAAGACUAUAACCGAAUAUUGUACAUUUCGUAAACGUGAAAAGGAAACUCUAGUUCAUUUAUUUCGGGAAUGUGGUCAUGUAAAAGACUUGAUCACAGAAAUUGAAAAACUUUCCAAGACUUAUGAUGAUAACUUAAGUUUUUUACUAAUUGUAAAUCUUUUAUCUUGUGUUAUCCAGGAAAAACUGUUGGUAAUUAUAACGUGUUUAAUGUUGUGUUUAGAAAUUAAAGAAUUAAAAAAAAUACAUAUUCCUCUGUAAAAGAAGAGAUGUUAUUCCAUCUUUACAGGCUUUAAACUUGCUACCGAAAUAAUCAAUAAAACAAGAAGAGUAGAUAAAUAAAAGGGAUGGGCUAUUGCAGAACUUCUAAGCCAUUAAAAGAAGUAUACUGAUGCUUUAUUCGACAUUUAAUUUGAAUUCCUGUUUAAGUACAAACUUAUUAGUGUGGAGAAGAAACCUUUUAUGUGAAAAAGUGUAUAUCUUGUUGAGAAGUUUGUCAUCAUCAUGUUGUUCUCUCGUAGCAAAUAUUUUUUGAAUGAUAUUUUAAGCAUUGUUGGUAUGCAUAUUGUAAAUGUUUAUAUUAUAUGCAACAUUCAGAAUUAGAUAGACUUAGAACUGAAAUAUAGUUUUAAAAGCAUAUAGAUAAUGGAUUGAAAAUUUAUAAAAAUGGGUAGAAUUACAUUUUUUUUAUAAUCAGUAAUGUAGAAUCGAAUAGUAAUAUUUAUAUGAAAUUGUUUACUUAAACCGUGUUAUCAGUUAUGUCAGUUGAUAUAUGUAUACUAUUCAAAGACGUGGGAAAUAACAGUUCAAAUAUAAACGUUUUUAAAAAAGUAUCAGGGAUUCUUAAAAUGAAAAUUAAAAAAAUAUAAACAAUUCGUAUUACUUUACUAUAAUGCCAUGUAUGUCCGAGUUAAUCAAACAUAGCUCCCAGACACAUAUAUAUUAUUUAUUUUUUUAAAUGACAUCCAAUAAAGGGCGGUAACAAUUAAGAUGGAAUUUAACAUUCAUUUUUGAUGUGCGAUAGAAAAAAAAUGUUUCGACAAUACGUGAGAAAUAAGUAAGCAUAUAAGACAAUAAAAUAUAAUGUUUUGAAGAAUAUACAAAAACCUUAGGUAUUUUUAAAAAAUACGCAAUAUAUAUUUAUGAAAAAUAUCUUGCAUUAGUCAAGUGCAAAAUGCCACAAUCAUGAUGAUAGUUUUCCGGUACGUAAUUUCGGAAUGACUAACUUACAUAAUUUAUCACAAGUCUUUAGAUAUGAAUUAUCACUGGACAAUCAUAUUGGAUAGAAUCAGCUGACGGUAAGCUCUACUAUACCUAUCUCGUUAAUACAUCCCGAAUCCAAUCGUCUCUACUUCGAAUAGGAUUGUUGAAUUUCCAUGAAACUGGCAAUUGUCUGGGUUCAUAAGCAGUGGUUUCGGGAUGUCUUCUGUCUCAGUUUCACUAACUUCCGUUGUGGCAACGAUGCCGGUUUUAUAAGAAACGCCUUCCAAGUUUGCACGGAACACUUGCUGUAUUUUUCUGUCAUCUUUUAACUCAGGUCUGCGCCGUUUGAAAUCACGAGAUGCCUGGCGAGAAGCUUUAGCCACUCGUUUUUUUUGUCAAGAUUACCGAAUCGAUCGGCAGUAGCUUUUCCCGGCGUUAAUUUGUGUUCCUCAUCCGCCUAUAUUGUGAGGAAACAUAAUACAAAUGCAAA